AAUGUAGAGUUGGUUGUCGCUGGCCCUUUCGGGGGUAUGUGCACGCCUUCUCUUUCAUCCACACACACCUGUGCACUUGUGAGACGGAGGGCUUUAAAAAAGCCUUCAGUCUGCUCAACCACACAAACUCAUUGUAUUUAAACUGAAUGUAAUUGAUGUAACGCAUCAUUAGAACUAAGUUUCAACAACGGAUCUCUUGGCUCUCGCAUCGAUGAAGAACGCAGCGAAAUGCGAUAAGUAAUGUGAAUUGCAGAAUUCAGUGAAUCAUCGAAUCUUUGAACGCACCUUGCGCUCCUUGGUAUUCCUUGGAGCAUGCCUGUUUGAGUAUCAUGAAAUUCUCAAAGUAAAUCUUUUGUUAAUUCAUUUGGUUUGCUUUGGUCUUGGAGGUUCUAUUGCAGGGGGUUUCACUCCUUGCUCCUCUUUGUGUAUUAGCUGGAUCUCAGUAUAUGCUUGGUUCCACUCGGCGUGAUAAGUAUCACUCGCUGAGGACACUGUAAAAGGUGGCCAGGAAAUACAGAUGAACCGCUUCUAAUAGUCUAUUAAGUUAGACAAUUAAUUUUAAGAUCUGAUCUCAAAUCAGGUAGGACUACCCGCUGAACUUAA
rnacentral:rRNA from 1 species